rnacentral:tRNA from 1 species
GGCCGGGUAGCUCAGUCGGUAGAGCAGAGGACUGAAAAUCCUUGUGUCGGCGGUUCAAUUCCGCCCCCGGCCACCA